rnacentral:rRNA from 1 species
UUGUACACACCGCCCGUCACACCAUGGGAGUGGGUUGCACCAGAAGUAGCUAGUCUAACCUUCGGGAGGACGGUUACCACGGUGUGAUUCAUGACUGGGGUGAAGUCGUAACAAGGUAGCCGUAGGGGAACCUGCGGCUGGAUCACCUCCUUAA